GUUCAGCCCAUAACACUCUGCUUGAUGCAGCCCAGCACGGUUUUGAUAACCACAGAGAAUAACUUUCAGGAUAUAUUAUUUACGCAUGGGUCUGUGCUAAUGCACCAGGCUGGGUGUGAGGCCUCCGGGACUUUGAAACAAGCCGAGUGGAACACAUUGCAUUUAUGCAGUCCUCCCUGGCUGGCUGGAAAUGUUAGCCGUGCAGGGUACCCUAGAGCGGACCCAGGACAACACGCCCUACAUGGAGCCAAGGAAACGGAGCUAGCGCCAAGGACCCACAAGUCAGAGCCCUGCAAGAUCAGAGAAAGCUCGCUGCCCUCGUGUGAACCUCCCAGAGAGGCCCGUCAAGGUCCCAAACAGCUGCUGCCAUUCAAGGAGCUUCACUGACGUCCACGUGGGUGGCAGGUUAGCACGUGGUCCUCACCCGCCCUUGGACGAGCCCUGGCUGUUGGCUGUCUGGGACACGGACUUGGCUUCACAUGCUUGCCGUGAGAGUGCUGAUGGUUCCGGCUCGCGGCAGUCACGGCCGGUGUGCCCAGCCCCAGGUGCUGUGUGUUCCUGCCUCAAGACAGCAGGUCUGACAGGCACCAGGACUGCCCAGAGACGGAAAAGAUGGAGAAACACAACAAGGUCCUCAAUGUGACCAGCUGGCACUUGCAUCAGUGUUGAAAAUUUCAAACAGUGACACAAGUUAGGACUGUGAGGGGCAAUAUUUUUGUUUGGUAAUGUCAGAUUUUGGGUCACAUAUGAACAAUAGUUAUUUCUUUUCAGAUUAUUACUGACAAUAGUUUUGUCUUACAGAGGAGACGAGUGUUAACAAUGGUCAGCUCUGGUGUAAAUCUGCCGGGUCAGCUCCACUGGGCCUUUUUGGGUUUUUCUGUGUACAGUUGUCCUAAAC